rnacentral:rRNA from 1 species
GACGAACGCUGGCGGCGUGCCUAAUACAUGCAAGUAGAACGCUGAAGGAGGAGCUUGCUUCUCUGGAUGAGUUGCGAACGGGUGAGUAACGCGUAGGUAACCUGCCUGGUAGCGGGGGAUAACUAUUGGAAACGAUAGCUAAUACCGCAUAAGAGUAGAUGUUGCAUGACAUUUACUUAAAAGCUGCAAUUGCAUCACUACCAGAUGGACCUGCGUUGUAUUAGCUAGUUGGUGAGGUAACGGCUCACCAAGGCAACGAUACAGAGCCGACCUGAGAGGGGGGACGGCCAACCUGGGACUGAGACACGGCCCAGACUCCUACGGGAGGCAGCAGUAGGGAAUCUUCGGCAAUGGACGGAAGUCUGACCGAGCAACGCCGCGUGAGUGAAGAAGGUUUUCGGAUCGGAAAGCUCUGUUGUAAGAGAAGAACGAGUGUGAGAGUGGAAAGUUCACACUGUGACGGUAUCUUACCAGAAAGGGACGGCUAACUACGUG